AAUAAAAGUGGAGAGAAAGAGGGAUACGGAAAUUACAGUUUCCAAUCGUGCCGUCGCGAAAAGGACUGCUCGAAGGCUUCAGAUAUUGAUCGUUCGGAGACUUUACGAAAGGGCAGGAUUUUUGCAAGUUAGCUUGCAUUUGAAAUCUUCGAUUAAGAUAUUGAUUGUUCAGAGACUUUACGGAAGGGCAGGACUUUUGCAAGUUAGCUUGCAUUUGGAAUCUUCGGUUAAGAAAGUGUUUUAGAGGCUCAAACAUGACCUCGCUUCUAGAGUUUGAUAGCAGAUCUUGAUCCAAGGGUGAGCACUCCAUCUCCAGACUGUCAUGAGUCAUCUUAUUUGUUCUUAUCCAUCUUUCGGACAAUGGAACAUUCUUUAUUUACUUUAUUUUUGGAUAUCACUUUAGACAUGAUCUUUGUUAGUAGUUC